rnacentral:rRNA from 1 species
UGGUGACUAUAGCAAGGAGGUCACACCUGUUCCCAUGCCGAACACAGAAGUUAAGCUCCUUAGCGACGAUGGUAGUCGAACUUACGUUCCG